AAAAACGCAUCCAGUUCUCUGUCUUCCUCCGUUCCUAUCUGAACUUGUAGAUGUUCAUAUCAAUCAACUCUGUACUUACUACAGGCUCACCUGCGGUUGUUGCAGAGCAAUCUAAGUUCUACACACAUUAAUGAGCAGUCGAUUGAUUGAGCAUAUUUGGAAGGUUUUGUUGGGAGACUUUGCAUUCGUUGUGGGUACGCAGAAUGCUGCACUUUGUGACUGCACAAGAGAUUUCAAGCGUGACCUUUGAUCUUGAACUAUUUCAUUGCCCAUUUGUGAUCCAUCUCUACUAGACAUGUCACAUGUCUGUCCACAAGGUAAUGCUGCUACCGGUAAAUUUAGUCGUCAUCGUAGGCACGGAUCAUUGACGUCAUGCAUCCGUUUAUGACCGUCGCCGCUAACCUGCAGAGCCAAUGUCGGGGUUCGCCUGAGGUAUGUCAUUGCUUGAGUUGAUGCCUUGGCUCCGAUCUGGCGCUCCGGCGGUGUGAUGAGAUCUUUGUCCGCAACCUGUUUGAUAAAAUGUGUCUGCGGUUUGUGCUACGUAAUCACAAUCACCAGGGUGCUGGAUAUGCUUAACUAAAGGGGAUAUUCUUUAGAUGUUUUCAAGUUUCAACAUCAACAUGUGUGUUGCCUUUCGAACCAGAAUCGCACCACAGUUUUUCCUUCAAAAUGCAGAGCAUGAUAUAUUUCUUUGUCCUGUUCAUGUACCGCUAUUGCUGGUUUUGCCGGAUGUAAGUAAAGGUGCGU
rnacentral:lncRNA from 1 species